rnacentral:rRNA from 1 species
UCACACUGGAACUGAGACACGGUCCAGACUCCUACGGGAGGCAGCAGUGGGGAAUAUUGGACAAUGGGCGAAAGCCUGAUCCAGCCAUGCCGCGUGUGUGAAGAAGGUCUUCGGAUUGUAAAGCACUUUAAGUUGGGAGGAAGGGCAGUAAGUUAAUACCUUGCUGUUUUGACGUUACCAACAGAAUAAGCACCGGCUAACUUCGUGCCAGCAGCCGCGGUAAUACGAAGGGUGCAAGCGUUAAUCGGAAUUACUGGGCGUAAAGCGCGCGUAGGUGGUUCAGCAAGUUGGAGGUGAAAUCCCCGGGCUCAACCUGGGAACUGCCUCCAAAACUACUGAGCUAGAGUACGGUAGAGGGUAGUGGAAUUUCCUGUGUAGCGGUGAAAUGCGUAGAUAUAGGAAGGAACACCAGUGGCGAAGGCGACUACCUGG